rnacentral:rRNA from 1 species
AACGAACGCUGGCGGCAUGCCUAACACAUGCAAGUCGAACGAGAUCUUCGGGUCUAGUGGCGCACGGGUGCGUAACGCGUGGGAAUCUGCCCUUUGGUUCGGAGUAACAGUUGGAAACGACUGCUAAUACCGGAUGAUGACGAAAGUCCAAAGAUUUAUCGCCAGAGGAUGAGCCCGCGUAGGAUUAGCUAGUUGGUGUGGUAAAGGCGCACCAAGGCGACGAUCCUUAGCUGGUCUGAGAGGAUGAUCAGCCACACUGGGACUGAGACACGGCCCAGACUCCUACGGGAGGCAGCAGUGGGGAAUGUUGGACAAUGGGCGAAAGCCUGAUCCAGCAAUGCCGCGUGAGUGAUGAAGGCCUUAGGGUUGUAAAGCUCUUUUACCCGGGAUGAUAUUGACAGUACCGGGAGAAUAAGCUCCGGCUAACUCCGUGCCAGCCGCCGCGGUAA